CACAACAACAGAAAGCAGCACAACCGAGGCCACAACAGACACCACAACACCAGAAAGCACUACUACUGGUACCACAACAACAGAAAGCACCACAACCGAGACCACAACAGACACUACAACACCAGAAAGCACCACUACAGGUACUACAACAACAGAAAGCACAACAACAGAGACCACAACAGACACAACAACACCAGAAAGUACCACUACAGGUACCACAACAACAGA